rnacentral:misc_RNA from 1 species
GAAAAAAAAAAAAAAAAGCAAGGAAAUGGGUGGGAAUCUUUCUUCGUCUUUCACUGUUAGUCGAUCCCACAUCGCCACCUCUCCUCUCCUGGAGAUACUAAGACAAAGUUAGAUUUUCUGUGUUUCUGGCAUUAGCUUAUGAGCAUUUCUCUCUAUGGGUUUGUCAUGUGGGGAUGGGGAGCAUGAUUUUGUAAGUGUCUCUCCUUUUCUUUCUCCCUCUCUCCCUCUCUUUUCACAAAUUUGGUAAUUGGUGAAGUGAAGGAUUUUGGUUUUGCGUCACAGUUUGCCAUUCUUGAGUCUAACACCCUGAUUCUAAUUAAUUAAUGCCAGUGUAUUUUUGGGUUUUCUUAGGAUGAGAGAGAGUGAAGUUCCACCAAUAGAUGAGACCACCAGGCAGAGCGGACAAAGGUUUGGCGAAAUGGACAUACACCACCAUCAUCAUCCUGUCGAAGAUGUUGAAUUCUGGCCUGUUGAACACCCAAUGGAGCCCCAGGAUGAAGAUCGCCCUGUCAGAUGCCCAAUUCCAACUUCUUCUUUUGUCAAUGAUGGAAGCAUAAGCGAGCAGAGAUGUGGUGAGAGCUUAAGGAAGAGAGCGGAUGUUCCAGCGGCAGUUAACAAAGAAGGGAUUGUUAUUGUGGCUGCAGAACCUCCACUUCGAGCAGUGCGAAAAAGGCACCAUACCCUUACCCAUGGAAAUCACAUAACAAGAAUGCCUCAUCUUCCUCCUCUUCCCAGCCAGAAUGUUACCAUCUUUCAAAUGCUUCAACAGUUAGAUGAGUUUGAGUGUUAGCAAAAUAGAUAAAAUACAUUGAAUUCCAUGUUUUCUCAUCUAUCUUGUGUUUCUUUUGAUUCCAUUAUGGAGUGAUGAGAAAUUCUUCUUCUUGAUUAGAUUAUGUAGCUUCAACAGGGCAAGGAGAUGUAUCAAGGACUUCAUAUUGUAUUAGCCAUUUGGAAUAUAUAAUAUUCUGC